AGAAAGAUAUGCAGUGAGUGAAUCAUUUGGGAGUCAUUUAUCCGUAUAUCCAUCCAUCCAUGUGUGUUAAAGUGGCUGUGGAGUUUUGUUAAUGCAGUGAAUGGAGUGACGUGUGUUUUCCAGAUGUGUAAUUCAGAUGUUCAACAUGGAACUUUGUACUGUAUGUAUAUUCCUGUAAUUCAAGUGGACUUGGUGGUUCGGUGGGCAAUAGUGUGAUUUAGUUUUUUGAGUGUUAUUGUAAAGAAAUUGAAGGCAGACCCCUUGGAAGUUAUCAGAGUCACUCUAUUAUGGCCUAGUUCCCUGGUUGCCUCUGUGUGUCUGUCUCUCUGUGUGAAUGAGGGAGAGAUAUGACAUGCUUGCAAGUAGUUUGGGGGGGUCAGGAAAAUCAAAGUAGCUGUAGAAAAGGCUGUUUAUGCCAUGUAGGAUGAAUUAAGAGAAAUGGUUUGAUUUGUGUAAGUAGGUAUUUAUUGUAUUGGAGUUACUUUGAAAUGAAGAAUAUUCAAUCCCAAUGACCGAAAAGAAUUAUAUAGAUGAUUGUGGAGAAGUUGAAUCCCUCCCACAUAAUUGGAGUUUGCAUACAGGGUUUCCUGCAUGCUUGCUUAAUGUGUUUUGUAAGAUGGGGUCAGCAGAAACGAGUACAGCACAAUGAGACUGUUAGUUAGUCUGUCAGUAAGGUGUGUAAGCGGUUAAUAUCCACACACAGAGUAGAGGAAGAUCCAGCAACACUGGGGAAAGGUGUUAAAGGGGAACAUGAAUAGAAGUCAUCUGUGAACAUGAGAUUACGGCACAUACUGAGCUCACAAUGAUGAACGUACUGGUUUACUGAACAGUGUGGCAAGAAUAGUAUUAGCGACGGCAUUGGUCACAUGAGGUUAGCUGGAUUGGUUGUCAGUAGAGAGGAGGUGGAGACAGUUGCAUAGGUGUCAAGGUUUGUAAUUGGUAACGAGAAGAAGCUGUGCAGAGCGUCAUAUGACUUUGCGCAUAGCUUGCGAUUGGUUAAUUGCAGAGAGGCGUCAGCUGUGGAUGGCAGAGAAGGAGCUAUGUAAGCAGUCCUUUUCCUUGGAGCGGCAGCCAUCGUGUGAAGACUGGCUCGUGUAAAGACCUGCUCGACUCUAACUGCACGGCGACAAGGAGCGGAUGCAGCACAGCCAUGGACAACUCCUGAUCUCCAGCAAGCUCCUUCACUACAACACCUGGCACGAUCCUGGAAGCUUGCACACCAGCUAACCCCUGGACUUCCUCAAGGAUCUGUGCUGACUCCCCUCCUUGCCAGGGACUUCAAUGGAGCAACAUUUUCCCUCACAAAUGCUGUCUCCAAACAAACUGUGUCUGAUUUCUGAGAUCUAAGACAGCUACACAAUGCAUUCCAGCCAGUCCAUUCCACAAUCUCGGCACACAUUUCCAACCAGCUUUCUCAAGUCACCAUCUCAACAAAUAAAUACUACAUCAAUCAAGAAACAAAAACUACCACAUCUAAUAAAUAUAUUUAGCACUGCCACUGCUCCCUAAAUCAUUCCCACUACAUCUGCUCCAUGCUACUGCAAGAACAUAAAUUUGGUGACAUACCACACUCCCGUUAUCUGACAAUCAAGGUUACUUUACAUACAUCAUCUCAACUACUUCAAACAUCCAUUCACCAUCUGACUAUGGGACGUAGCCAACUCCCAGACCGCACAUACACUGUCACAGGUAGGGAUGGCCGAUAUGGGCUUCAAAAUAUAUUGCGAUAACCAUAUCAAUGACAAUAAUUCAGGGAAUCCUGUUCCUUUAGACAAAAGAAUGAUCUUUCCUAUUUUUACCCCAAACAGGGUGUUGUGAGCGUUAUUGAGUACACAUGUAAUGCAGUGACUGUUUAAUUCAUACUGGAAGCCGAAGGGCGCCCUUGCGCAGAAACUCAACAUAUCCAUAGCACAAGUACCGUAUUGUCGCGAAUAUAAGACGACCCCCCUUUUUCCAGAUGUACCUUUUGGAAAAAGGCUUUUUGAAAACCAAAUCUUUUUUUCUCUCUGUAAAACACAUUUUUUCUUAAAUUAUUUUCAAAUUGCAUAUUUUUCCUAUUUAAAUUUUUGUUUUGAAAGUAUGGUAAAUACUGGUAAAAUGUACCAACAAUGACAUUGAAAAAUAUACACUUUUUGAUAUACCACUGAAAUAACAGGUAGCCCAUCUGAAUUAUAUAACAUUUAGGCUAUCCAUCUCAUAGUAGCCUACCAAAAUUUUAUUAUCAGUAGAAGUUAAAUCUUAUUGUAGUCUUCAAAUCUGGGUACUGUCUUAUGUUUUAAAAUCACUUACACAGGAAGUUUGUUCUCAUCAGACUAACAUGACAGUCACGACUCAUGCCGCUGUAAGUGUUUUCACUCACGUUCUUUACAACACACAUUACAUUACAUAUUUCACGGCACACUCGUUUUAUGCAUUUUUGGCGCCACCUAUUGUUGUGGGUGUAUUAUUGACAUGUCAAAGUCUAGACCCCGAAUAUAAGACGACCGCGUUUUUUCAGAUAUAUUUCAAAGAAAAAAACAUUGUCUUAUAUUCGGGUCAAUACGGUAAUACUACUGACACACAACGGAGCUAGACAAAUUUUAACUGAUGAAACCUGAAGACAAUAAACAUACAAUUACACAAAAUAUAUGGCUUAUCUGUGUUCAAGCAAUCUUGGGUAUUUUUUCCCUAAGGAAAGUAUAUUUAUAAUGCAAUGCUAAUAGACAUAGCCUUUAGCACUGUAUAUGUAAUAUGAAACCACGUCUGGUCACAAAAAGAAACUCGAUUAUGUUAAGUUAAUUUGGAGAAAAAUCAUGUCAAUAAAUGAUAUCUUUCUUGGACAACAGAUUUUAAACUGUAUCGCACACAUUCUACUGUAGUACAUUUAUUCAGACCGAUUCUUUGUCACACCAGUUGACCAAACCAGUUCCGGAUUGUUGAAGGAGCUGCUCAUUUAGCGAUAAACUCCUCCUCCUCAAUUUUACGUCUGCCUUCUGCCAUGUCACACACAGAAAUAUGUCAACAACUACACUUUAUCCUUAUUAUCACAGAAAGACUAAUUCUUAUCGUGGGGAGAAUUUGUACCAGUAUAUCGCAAAUUAUAAGGUAUCGCCCAUCCCUACUCGCAUGGCAUGUCAACCAACUCAGUCAUGUACAGUAUAUGUUACUCCAUAAAUAACCAAACUGUUCCCACAAAAAUAACAACAACAAAAAAUACUGCACUACCAUAACGAAUACCUUAACAACAGCCCCAUGCUGUUACAAGCUAAUACUUACACUUGGUCAGAUGCUGAUGUCAAAUACUUCACCCAUAUAGCAUUACUCGCUUGUUACUCCUCCUUAGCAGUGUUGGGUGUAAUGAGUUACUAAGUAACGCUUUACUGCAAUUAAAUCACUUGUCCACUGAAAAAGUUAAGUAAGGGAUUACUGUUCAUUUUUAGGUAAUUGCAUUACAGUUAAUUAUAAAGUACUUGCAUUACAUACUGUAAAUAAUUUCAACCAUUCUAAAAUCAAUAUUGAAUUUGAAAUCUAAAUUUACCAUCUAAAGAUAAAAUUGAAAGCAGUGUCUUUAACCCUCUGCGCGCCAGCGCGUUCACUUUCAGUUUUUCCUGAUUCACAGAGAAACAUUAAAUACUCAGAUACAGAUAAGACUAAACUCAAUCGAAUCUAAAAAGGGCCUACUUUUAUGUGUGUACACUGACAAUAACAAAAAAACAUUGUGCUUUUGUAAAAUAAACAAAACAAAGGGUGUUCUUUCUGCCGUCUAGAUCUCUGUGAGCAACUUUGUCUAAUUUUAAAUGAACAAAUUCAAAUCGAAAACGGAUAUUCUCUAAUUAUGUAAUCCCUAUGAAACUGAGAUAGUCUGUCACGUAUCUGAGCUCAUUAUAUGCAGUCACCUGCACGCAAAUGCCUCCCCUAGAUACAAAAAAAUUUAUUUAAAAAACUAAUUCUAGAUUCAUCUAAUUUUCAUAGUUUUUGAAAGAUUACCUGCUAUGAGGAAUAAGCCGGAAUUUACCUCAGAAGAACAGCGCGAUCUGACGCGGCUUUAUUCAGCAGAGAUCAUUUCUGUAAUUUAUUCUUACCUACAUUAGUUAACGUGUUAUUUUUACAUAAACCUGUACGGAUUUUACAAGUUGGGCUUUUCCUGAACAUCUUGCCAAACUGAAAUGUAUUGUUUAACUUUUCUUAAGAUUUUUUGUUACUCAGAUAUUUUGCAGAGUAUUUCUAUUUAAAGAAGGUUAAAUUUUUUUAUAAAAAAUGUUUAAGUAUUAAGGCCUUUCCACACUGAGUGCAAAAAAGCGAAACAUCAGACUUCUAUGGAUACUUCCACAUAGGCCGCGAAAAUGACCGCAUAGACCGCAUUCGUGCACCGAAAAUGCGGAAAAAAUGUUUUCCCAACAGUCCGACAAAUCUUUUCAGUUUCGCAAAGCGAAAACACAUGCCAUCCAACAAGAUUUGAUCAUUACAUCACGUGGCCAGAGCAACUGCUGUUACCCAAAAGGUCGACGCGGUGGCGCUAAAAGCUCAAAAGAGUGUAUUGAGCAUGAGCGUAAAAACACAGAAGUAGAGGACUUUUUCCGCAAGAGAGAAGAGAGUGAAUGCUGAGUUCUUGUUAGUAUUUAAGAACAGACGAUUCUCACAUGUUCUUUAUACAGAAUAACAUUUCUAUUAAUUCUCCACUGAAUUAUGUUAUCUGAAGAGCACCGUCCAUUAUCUUCGCGAGCACGAGUCAGAGCUUGUUCACUCUAGACCUGUCAAUCAUGUAAUCAUAUCUCUUGCCCUUCCGUAUAUAAAAAAAAGAUAAAAAAUGUUCUACACAUGAAAUAUGAAAGCAAAUAGACAUAUACAGAAAAUAUAUGAUCUUCAUAAUUAUGUUUUUAUGCAGCUCAUGGAUUUUUUUUUUAACAAUAAAAGAUGGUUAUGACACAUGACAAGCAGGUAUCAAUCAGUCCAUUAUAAAACAUACAAAGAGUGCAUGUCUGCCUAUUACAGAAUCAAAAUCCAUUUUAGAUCACAUUCAGUGAUGCAAAAGAUGCAUUGUUGGUCAGCACCACCAACAGGUGCAGGUGUGAAUGCAACAUUUGCGGGCGAUUCACCUCACUUUUUCGCAUCGCGCUUAGUGUGGAAAGGCCUUUACAGUUGUUUUAAAGCUAAAAGGCUAAACUAUUCUAUGUUUGACUCAAAUUGAAAGAAUAAUUGUCUAUUGUCUAGGUUUAUAGGGAGUUUAAGAUGUAGCCUAAUUAGUGAUUUGAAUAAUUAAGUUACUUAUUGAGUAACUAAAUUACUUGUCAGACAGAGUAAUUAGUAAAGUAAUUUAAACACAAUAUUGAUGAUGUAAUUGUAAUUAAUUACUUUUUGAAAGUAGCUUACCCAACACUGCUCCUUAGUACUGACACAACACACAGGAUGCAAACCAUGAAGCCUGUCCUCCUCCAACAACAAAAGCAGCACUAAUUCCAAGUCAUUGACUUUUCACAAAUGCUACUGCUUAUGUUAGCUUUUAAUAUACGGUUUUAUCCUGAUUAAAGCUUUAAUACAACACGGCAACCGCAUGAGCCUCCAUGUUUAACGCUUCUCAUAGCUAUGUGAAAAAUAUCUGUCUAUACACAAAGUGUAUAAUUGGAGCAGUUCAUUGUUGGAAAGAGAUGCAGAGCAGGGGGAAGUGAGGAACAGGAUUAAGAACCUCUGCUUUACAACACUGAUUUUGAAACUUCUGAAUCCAUUAGAAUCGUUAGAAGAGAAUCGCUUCCUCUUCUCUAAAGCAGCGCAGCAUGGCCCUGCCCCCUUUGCUGCAUGUUCCUGGGGGCAGGGUUUAUCAGGGUUUGUGACGUCACAAACCCGGGAAGUAACCCAUUA